UGUCCUAUGGUGUAACUGGCAACACGUCUCGUUUUGGUCGAGAAGAGUCGAGGUUCGAGCCCUUGUGGGACAA
rnacentral:tRNA from 3 species